GACGAAUGCUGGCUGCGUGCUUAACACAUGCAAGUCGAACGGUGAAGGAGGGCUUGCCCUCCGGAUCAGUGGCGAACGGGUGAGUAACACGUGGGCAACCUGCCCCUCACUCUGGGAUAACGCCGGGAAACCGGCGCUAAUACCGGAUACGACCAGGCGCGACAUCUCGCCUGGUGGAAAGAAUUUCGGUGAGGGAUGGGCCCGCGGCCUAUCAGCUAGUUGGUGGGGUAACGGCCCACCAAGGCGACGACGGGUAGCCGGCCGGAGAGGGCGACCGGCCACACUGGGACUGAGAAACGGCCCAGACUCCUACGGGAGGCAGCAGUGGGGAAUAUUGCGCAAUGGGCGAAAGCCUGACGCAGCGACGCAGCGUGAGGGACGAAGGCCUUCGGGUUGUAAACCUCUUUCAGCGGGGACGAAGCGAAAGUGACGGUACCCGCAGAAGAAGCACCGGCUAACUACGUGCCAGCCGCCGCUGUAAAAC
rnacentral:rRNA from 1 species